CAGCCGCCACGGUAAUACAGAGGGUGCGAGCGUUAAUCGGAUUUACUGGGCGUAAAGCGUGCGUAGGCGGCUUCUUAAGUCGGAUGUGAAAUCCCUGAGCUUAACUUAGGAAUUGCAUUCGAUACUGGGAAGCUAGAGUAUGGGAGAGGAUGGUAGAAUUCCAGGUGUAGCGGUGAAAUGCGUAGAGAUCUGGAGGAAUACCGAUGGCGAAGGCAGCCAUCUGGCCUAAUACUGACGCUGAGGUACGAAAGCAUGGGGAGCAAACAGGAUUAGAGACCCCGGUAGUCCCUGUCUCUUAUAA
rnacentral:rRNA from 1 species